UGCUACUACCAGAAAUAAACUGAACUUGUAGACGAUUGAAUUGGAAGGAGAUAAUACAAAUAAAAUUAACAGUACAAAUGCCAUUCUUUAGCCGCAGGUGAACCAAAAGAUGGCGACAGCGGUUGGAUGGACGUGGAGUUGGAGACCGCCCACAACCACAGUUACAUGUCCCCGCCGGUCAUCGCCUCUUUCUUUACCUCUACCAUGCUUCAGGGUGGUCCAUGAAAGCAAGACUAGACCAUUCAAAGUCUGCUGCGAUUAUUCCUGCUUCGAGCUAAAGGAUGUCAGUUACCAACCUCCUGGAACAAAAGUCAACCUUCUAGAUGGCGUGAGUUUCUCCCUCCGUGAAAAAAGUUUUGGUUUGAUAUUUGGACGGAGUGGUAGUGGAAAAACUACUCUCUUACAGCUGAUUGCAGGAUUUAGUAAGCCCACGUCAGGCUCCAUUCAUGUCCAAAGAUAUGGUAAUGAUGGCUGCCCAAAUAGGUUGCCUGAACUCUUAAAUGCAAAUAAAGUUGGGAUUGUAUUUCAAUUUCCUGAGAGGUAUUUUGUGGCAGAGAAGGUUUUUGAUGAAGUCAUCUUCGGGUGGGCAAGACAAAAAGGUGGCAGUCAGUUGAAAGAGCUUCUUGAUUUAAGACUUCAAAAAGCUAUUACUUCAGUUGGUCUAACUGGAAUUGCUUUGGAUCAGGAUCCACAAUCACUAAGUGGUGGUUACAAACGUCGUCUUGCUUUAGCAAUUCAGUUAGUACAAGCUCCAGAUUUGUUGUUAUUGGAUGAGCCUCUUGCUGGUCUUGAUUGGAGAGCUCGUGCAGAUGUCGUGAAACUCCUAAAGAAUCUAAAGAAGGAAUUAACUAUACUUGUCGUCAGCCAUGACCUUAAAGAGUUGUCAUGCCUAGUUGAUCAAUCAUGGAGGAUGGAGAUGGGUGGAAUGCUUAAAGGUGAGCCACUUCCAGUUUAACAGAUGCAAUGCGUCUUUGCCUACUUGAGCUAUGCAAGAUGUAAAUACAUGAGAGAGAUACGAAGAACCCCGCUUUAUUCUCGCUCUUCAUCGAGUUCAAGCAUCACCACUCAUUCCUAAUGACAUACUAAUCACCAGCUCACAGUGACGAAUCACGAUACUUGAUAGACGAACAGUGAAUACAAGAGUUGGAUUGAUGUUUCAUACUAGGAUGAAUAUGUUUGUUCUUUGUUAAAUGUAGUCAGCAUCAGUUUUGAUCCAGUGCUUCCAAAUUAACCGUUGUAGUACCAGUGUCAAUCCCUUUAGAUGAUGGCACAGAUUUGGAGGUCUCCUUCUUCAAAGUGAUCUUCUUAGGAGACCUUUUAUUUUCCUGUGUCAUCCCCGUAAUGCAUGCCCGGCUUGCCAGAGAGUUUCUUGAUUUUGUUUUGUCCAGUGCUUUACAUAUAUAUGAUUAGCAUUCUUCAGAACAAUCUAAUUAUGUCUUCCAUUUUAUCUGGAUGAAUAGUUGAAAUUGAACGUC